rnacentral:misc_RNA from 1 species
GGAGAUGUUGCACCACCGCCGUGACGUCAUCGGUAAACAGUAGUGUCACGGGAGCAGUGUUGCUGGUGUGUGUCUCUGCCUUAUUUACCUCCUUUAAGUCAACUCUCCCUCCUACUCCCCAGUGGUCGUCUCCAACAUGUCGAUAGCAAAUAUGGAAAAGCACCUCUUCAGCUUGAAGUUUGCUGCCAAAGAUCUUGAACGGCAGUCCAAAAAAUGUGAAAAGGAGGAGAAAGGAGAGAAGGUGAAGCUGAAGAAAGCAAUAGCGAAGGGAAACAUGGAUGGCGCUCGUAUCCACGCUGAAAAUUCCAUUCGUAACAAAAGUCAAGCACUCAACUAUCUUCGAAUGGCUGCUAGAGUUGAUGCAGUAGCUUCUCGCGUCCAGACGGCUGUGACACAACGCAAGGUUACUCAGAGCAUGGCCGGCGUAGUUAAAAACCUGGAUGCAGCAAUGAAGAGCAUGAACCUGGAGAAGAUUUCAGCCCUUAUGGACAAGUUUGAACACCAGUUUGAAGACUUGGAUGUACAGAGCUCGUAUAUGGACACUGCCAUGAGUCAGACCACUACCACAGCUGUUCCUCAAGAUGCUGUUAAUGGCCUCAUGUCUCAGGUGGCUGAUGAAGCUGGCUUGGAAUUGAACAUGGAACUACCAACUGGAGGAACAUCCACGGUGGGAGUAAGUGCAACACAAGCCAGCCAAGACCAGGAUGAGCUGACUCAGAGACUGGCUAAACUUCGUAAUGCUUGAUUCUUGCAAGAAUGCUGGUUGCACCUCAGAUUUUUGCUGGAGGGAACCUGGACGCAGGGUGGCAAGGUUAAAGUGAUUGAAAAUAUGUGGGACUUAUUGUUACUGUACACAACCAGUUCCAGCUGGUGUUGACAUCAAUCUUGGUUUAUAAGGUAUUUUUAUUUAGUGAUUGUUCAGGUCUUACCUUCUCUUUAAAUUCUUAAGUUUUAUACAUUUCCCAAUUCACAGUGGCUGGUGUUCAAGGAUGAGACAAAGAUGGGUAGAUGCUUUAAUAUUUGUUUAAAAUUUAAAUGAUUAUGUGAAUAAGAGAGCAGGUUCUAUUUUUAGUUAUGUUAAACUCAUUAUACAGUAUAUGCAGAUAUAAGACUUUAUAUGACACUUGUAUACACAAUUAAAUAAAUUAAUUUAGUUUAA